UUCCUUGGCGGUUUAACAAUAUCUUUACAUCAUCCUUAUCUAUGGUUUUCUGCUCACUUCAGGAGUGAGUUUUCUAUUUAAGGCACAACAUCUGAAGUCUAAUUCCUUCACAGGAUCACCAGGCAGAAGCCCAUCACCCUUCAGGCACAAAGGCUGACGUGUGUCCUUGCUCCCAGUCCCAAGUUAAGAGCUUGCCUGGGGAGGGGCUCUGGCAUCUCACAGGGCGUGGGGAUGCUGCUUUUCCCCUUGCUGGGUUGGGCACAGUCAAUUACAUGUCCAUGGGAUAACAGAGAGGAUUGGGGGCUAUCUGGGCUGAAGGCUACUCCAGCUAUAAAGGGCUGGGCUGGGCUCUUUCUGCCUGGGGUUUCUCUGAAGCAGAGACAGGGCAGUGAGGCUUCCCUCACCUCUGAGGUGCCACAGGUGGCUGCAGGUGACCUGAGCUGCUCCCACGGGAGCUGCUGGCUCUGGCCACCACUGCUCCCCCCCUGCCUGGCACAGACACCACCAAAGGAGAGGAGAUGUUGUGAAAAACGAGGUAAUCUGGGGCCCUUCCUCCCAUGCCCAGCCUUGUAGGGGGCUGAGAACAUUGGCAAGGCAAAGUUGUCUUGGGAGAAGAAACUCUUCUGCUCAGAUCUGAGUUCUCUGUCAUGCCUGUACUGAAGAUGCAGCUGAAGGAAUUCCUUUUUCUAGGUUCUAUGUAGCUGCAGACACUGAAAAAGCAAAGAAUCCCUAAACACAAGAUGAGGAAGAGAUAAAUUAUCAAGACGGAGAUGUUGUCAAAUUCCUGAGUUGUAACUCACUGAUUUUGCAGUCAUGCAAUGAAAACUUUUAAGAGC